UACGAAGGGGGCUAGCGUUGCUCGGAAUCACUGGGCGUAAAGCGCACGUAGGCGGAUCUUUAAGUCAGGGGUGAAAUCCCAAGACUCAACCUUGGAACUGCCUUUGAUACUGGGGAUCUCGAGUCCGGAAGAGGUUGGUGGAACUGCGAGUGUAGAGGUGUAAUUCGUAGAUAUUCGCAAGAACACCAGUGGCGAAGGCGGCCAACUGGUCCGGUACUGACGCUGAGGUGCGAAAGCGUGGGGAGCAAACAGG
rnacentral:rRNA from 1 species